rnacentral:rRNA from 1 species
AAUGGACGCAAGUCUGAACCAGCCAUGCCGCGUGAAGGAUGAAGGUCCUCUGGAUUGUAAACUUCUUUUAUCUGGGACGAAAAAAGGGCUUUCUAGCUCACUUGACGGUACCAGAGGAAUAAGCACCGGCUAACUCCGUGCCAGCAGCCGCGGUAAUACGGAGGGUGCAAGCGUUAUCCGGAUUUACUGGGUUUAAAGGGUGCGUAGGUGGGCAGGUAAGUCAGCGGUGAAAUCUCCGAGCUUAACUCGGAAACUGCCAUUGAUACUAUCUGUCUUGAAUAUCCUGGAGGUGAGCGGAAUAUGUCAUGUAGCGGUGAAAUGCUUAGAUAUGACAUAGAACACCAAUUGCGAAGGCAGCUCACUACGGGGUCAUUGACACUGAGGCACGAAAGCGUGGGGAUCAAA